CGUUAGAUCACCGAAGUCAAGCAUUAUUGGCCGCGGUCAGUACUUGGGUGGGUGACCACCUGGGAACACCGCGUGCCGUU